rnacentral:rRNA from 1 species
UACGUAGGGUGCUAGCGUUGUUCGGAAUUACUGGGCGUAAAGGGCGCGUAGGCGGCCUGUUAAGUCGGUUGUGAAAGCCCGGGGCUCAACCCCGGAACGGCAGCCGAGACUGGCGGGCUCGAGACCGGGAGAGGUGGGUGGAAUACCCAGUGUAGAGGUGAAAUUCGUAGAUAUUGGGUGGAACACCGGUGGCGAAAGCGGCUCACUGGCCCGGUUCUGACGCUGAGGCGCGAAAGCGUGGGGAGCAAACAGG